rnacentral:rRNA from 1 species
UACGUAGGGUGCGAGCGUUAAUCGGAAUUACUGGGCGUAAAGCGUGCGCAGGCGGUUUUGCAAGCCGGAUGUGAAAGCCCCGGGCUCAACCUGGGAAUGGCAAUGGAUACUGGCAAGCUAGAGUGCGGUAGAGGGUAGUGGAAUUCCCGGUGUAGCGGUGAAAUGCGUAGAGAUCGGGAGGAACACCAGUGGCGAAGGCGGCUACCUGGACCAGCACUGACACUGAGGCACGAAAGCGUGGGGAGCAAACAGG